AUAUUUUUUUUACAUAUCCACUGUAGGUGCAUCUACUUCUCUUUGUGGGAUGUAAAGAAACUCAGAUCACAAUACCAGUACUGGAGGAGUCUUAUGCCACACCAAUCUCACCUUGCUAGUUUCUUGGAAGUCCAAGUUCUUGAUGAGAUGUCACUGAUCCCUUCAGUCAGUCCUAGUUAAUACCUCAGAUAUUGCUCACAGAAAAGGUGUUUGGCUUCCACUGUGACAAGGUAGUGCUGCCAGCUCAUAAUGGCAAUCUGAAGAAAUCAAACAGCUUCUUUUGAUCUUCUUUACGUUGUGCCUGAAUAAAAGUUCAGCAGAGA